AAUUAGUAGAAAAAAGGGAUGAAGGCAUUUAAGUUAGAGUGCUAAGUAGGAACUGGACAAGAUUAUGCAAGAAGGAGACUUGGGGAUAACAAAAGGGGUGUUUGGGAUUAUAAAUAGAUGGGUUAAAUUAAAUUUAUAGAAGCUGAACGUAAUUCUGAAACAAAAAUAAAAGAGGCUCCAAGGGUAUAAAAGAGUACUUAGGAAACCUAUUGGAUGAGUUAGGAAUCCCAGUGAAAGGAUAACAAACUUUUGUUUUAUGGAGACAAAGUUAACAAAGAAAUUAAGUGAGCACUGGGUUGUACCACCACAUUUAGUUGUAAUAUGUUUUUUUUUUUGCUAUAAUCUUUUAGUAUGAUGUGCAUAUUCUACUUACUGGGCAAUGUAGCUCAUUAUGUUGUAAAUUUCAUAGCAGGUAUAAUGGGAAACAAGAACUGGAAAAUCAAGAAUCAUGCCGCCAAACUUAAGCACUUGCAGGGAGCUUCCUCGUCAUUACCUAAGUCGAAUAAUUUAGAGUUAGUUGUAGGAUAUGAUCGAUAUUAUUGUGUGUAGGAGGAAAUACUUGUACUUUCGAUCUUUGUUUUAGUUAAAAGGUGUAUCCUUUCUUGUGGAGACAACUUGGUAGAGAUGUGAAGCAUGAAUAUAUAUAUAUAUAUAUAUUUAUUUGAUUCAAGAUACAUGAAAUAAUUAUCCUUGGAAUAACAUUUAUGAAUCAGAGUGAUAUUAUUAAUCUCUCCUAUAGAUGAC
rnacentral:lncRNA from 1 species